rfam:Haemonchus contortus, ISE/inbred ISE, WGS project CAVP01000000 data, contig: Hcontortus_13487
GCCUCAUUGGCUCAGGAGCAGAGCGUCUGUCUAGUAAACAGAAGGUCGCUGGUUCGAUUCCAGCAUGAGGCA